AACCUAAAGAUCCUGUAAAUGAAAAUCCCCUCAAGAUCGUCCUUCCUCAAAGGAGUGUCCAUCCACACGUUUCCAGUACCUAUCUUCCUCAUCCUCCAUCUUGCCGCAUCUUUUCUUCGGGACAUCAGUGACUUUGGUGAUCCAUCCAAGUAUGAAUCAGUGUAAAAGAAUUGGCAGAUGAAUUUGUCCCAGCAUAGUUGAUGCAGCGGAGUUGUACCAAAGACUGUUUGAGGCAUGUGCAUGUUUCCUGCAGGACUCUCCGCCUUAAUUUCAUAGAAGAAAAACGUAUCCCUAAAACGCCCAUCGUCACGCCGGCAGGCUAUGGUUUCCUUCUGGUCGCCGCCUCUCCCGACCAGAUCAUCAUCGCCCCCUACGGCCGCUCUUUAUUCCAUCCAUGCUGAAAUUGAUUUAAAAGACAGUGUUCUGUUCUAGGCGGAAUCGAUCAAGAAAGGUAUCGGUUGGCUGAUGUGUACAUGUGUGUACUAGCUUCUGGAUGUCAACUUGCUUCAUCGUCGCCUCUAAAUUAAUCAGACACCUACUUUUAGGCUGCUAAUGAUUUUAUCCAAUGAAGGCUGAUAUAGCGAAGUAAGUAUCCAUCCAAUCUUUGAAACAGAUUGGACGUCCAUCACAGUCGACAAGGAUGCCAAGCUAAGAACUAUUUCAGACUGGUGGUGGAGCCGUUUACUUGCUCGACACUGUUCGAUUUUGUUGCUGCAUCCACUUGGCAAGUAACUCAGAACCCUUGAAUCUCCUGCUCACAAUUUUACUCAUAUAGUUUAUCCUUAAUACCCCGUCCACAGGGUUGACGCUAUUUGUGGCAACUGCAAUGCAUAUGUAGGUCCGAUAUGAAAGGAGGCGUCUUGGUUUUCCAAGAUCGAGAAUGGAGUUCCAUGAAGAUACAGUAAUGAUAUCAAUCAGAUGAAUUUGUCCCAGCAUAGUUGAUGCAGCGGAGGAGUUGUACCAAAGACUGUUUGAGGCAUGCGCAUGUUUCCUGCAGGACUCUCCGCCUUAAUUUCAUAGGAGAAAAACUUAUCCCUAAAAGGCCCAUCGUCACGCCGACAGGCUACGGUUUCCUUCUGGUCGCCGCCUCUCCCGACCAGAUCAUCAUCGCGCCCCCUACGGCCGCUCUUGAUUCCAUCCAUGCUGAAAUUGAUUUAAAAGACAGGGGUAUGAUCCAAUUCAUCCUCUCCUGCAGCCUAGCUCUAACUUAUAUACAUCUAAUCACCUACCAUGAAUUUGUACCACCAUGAUUUGAAGCAAUCAACCCAUCGUUUUUGCGUGCGUGCCAGUUCUGUUCUAGGCGGAAUCGAUCAAGAAAGGUAUCGAUUGGCUGAUGUGUACAUGUGUGUACUAGCUUCUGGAUGUCAACUUGCUUUGUCGUCGCCUCUGUAAGCACUCGAGCUGGCAUUGACUUGCACGUGCACCAACACUGCACGUGAUUCUGUUCCUCUGCAAUCAUUGAAAUCUGGAAUCUCAUUAGCUUUUAAAUUCUUGACAUGCAGAAAUUAAUCAGACACCUACUUUUAGGCUGCUAAUGAUUUUAUCCAAUGAAGGCUGAUAUAGCGAAGUAACUAUACCAUCCAAUCUUUGAAACAGAUUGGACGUCCAUCACAGUCGACAAGGCUGCCAAGCUAAGAACUGUUUCAGACUGGUGGUGGAGCCGUUUACUUGCUCGACACUGUUCGAUUUUGUUGCUGCAUCCACUUGGCAAGUAACUCAGAACCCUUGAAUCUCCUGCUCACAAUUUUACUCAUAUAGUUUAUCAUUAAUACCCUGUCCACAGGGUUGACGCUAUUUGUGGCAAGUGCAAUGCAUAUGUAGUUGUGACGAGCAAAUUCAGCAAAUUUAACUCGUGGUGAAUUCAAUCAAGUGUGAGGCCGCUAUCUAAUAUCUUCUUUGCAAGUCCGAUAUGAAAGGAGGCGUCUUGGUUUUCCAAGAUCGAGAAUGGAGUUCCAUGAAGAUACAGUAAUGAUAUCAAUCAAGUCUAACUUUUUUAUUUUUACGUUUACUAUUUUCAUCACACAUUUAUACAUAAUUUAUAUUUGUGUUGAAGGCAAACUGUCUAAAGUGUUCCCUUUACAUUGUUGAUAUAUGAAGUUUCUGAUUAGAUUUCUUAAAUCUCUGCCAUUGGUUCAUGAAUAUUAUAUGAAAAUCUUUUAUAGGCUAAACGUGAACAUACCUGGAUUCUAUGGAAUUGAUUGCUAAAAACAGAUUUAGCGUUUAACUUCAUAUGAUACAUUGAUCCUUCUGUACUAGAUUCUAACUAUUGUAAAAUGGAUUCUUUAGCGUACCUAUUACAAACAUAUUAAUUCAGCCAACAUUCUGAACAAUUUCUAGAUAUUGUGCUGCUUCAUGCAGUUGUUUGCCCGCAACAAACAUCCUAUGACCAAGGCAAUAUAUUCUACCAUGUCUAACCGACCUGAUUGUUUCAAAAAAUAGACAAUCGAGUUUUAGUUUUACACAUGUUUGUUUCUGCACCUACCUGACUGCCUAACAUCUUUCUGAUAUAGGAACAAACUGCAACUGAUAAAAAACACUUUCCUUAAUCUAUGAAGCACAGUUUUUCUUCCUAAUUCAU